CUCACCCGCCUCGAGUGAUUGUCAUUUAUCAAUUAAAACUUUCUCCGAUAAUAUCACUAAUAUGAUUUCACAAUAACUCUAGAACAAAAACAAACAGCCUGUUAUUCAAAACAACUGGUGAUGCAAUUAGUUGAUAACAGCAAGCUCAUUAUCUUCCUCAACAAACUUUAAUAGUGAAUAAUAAACACAGCCCAUAUAUUAUGAUGCCACUUUAUAAUAAGAUUCUGUACAUUUACAUAAUAUAAAUAAAUAAUACAUUUAAAAAAUAUUUAUUGAACCUGUGUGCAUGUGUGUAUCACAUCUUGUGUGAUAUUCUGUACUCUAUGAACAGUUUUAUCAUUUUAAACUUUUAUUAUGCAAACAACUUAAAUUGCCUCAUAUUAAUUGAGAUAUUGUUUCAAAUGAGAUAUUUACUUUUUAAAAAUUAAUUUGUCACCACAUACUGUUUAAAAUGAAUAUUGAAGGCAAAUUGUGGAAACAGCAUAAAAAGAAAAAAUAUGCAUUUAUCCAUUUACAUUUGAGUACAUUAUACAUAAAGUCUUGAUGUAGAUAAAAAUGGAUUUAUUUUCUUGUAUUGUCUCUUUAUAUCCUUUCCUUAAUUUUUUAAUUACUUCACCAUAUUCUACAUACUCUAUUUCUGUACUAUGUUAUUCAAUUAGGCAAUAUUGUGAAUGUCUCUCUGACUCCCGGAUUACAGAUGGAUUUGAUUGGUGUUAAAUGUGGUAAAACUACGAUCUGUUCUCUCCUAACCUGCUUUAUACAGUUCUUUGACUUUACGGAUCUCCACAUCUAAAAUCUUAAAUCUUUAAUAAACACUGUCAUCACAUCUUGCAGGAUGUUUAGUUUAUUUUUUAGGGUUUACAAGUACCGUGUGAUUAAAAUGUGUGAUUUAAACACUGGAAUAACAUCCUCUGCCCGUCUUCUUCUCUUGACAGCAGCUUAAUGAGAGCGUGGUGAAGCUGACCAGCUGAGGAGCCGACAGGAGCCGAGACCGUCGCUCCGGCCGACCACCCGUGAGUCCGUCUGCGUCCACCGCACCGAUCCAAUUAAACACAUAGCUGCUGCUUCCUGUCUUAAUUAAGAAAAAAAGUAGAUGAGCAAGCGAAACAGAAAAAAAUCUGAAUAAUAAUUAAAAUGCAGCAAACCCCCAGAAUAAGUAAUUUCUGCUGUGCGUUGAAGCGUGCAGCUGUACGAGUCAGCAGGAAAUCACACAAACAAACACAUGCAGCAGCGCUGGAUUCUGCCUGAAGCGCACAUUAAAAUGAUUGUUUGAUCUAGGAAUGAUUGUGACUUGUGCAGCAGUGACCCCGCAGUGUGUGAGGGCUUCGCUGUAGAUCAGGGGUUAAAGGUCAAGUGUGUUGUUUCCACACCAUUACGAGCACCAAACAGAGCUGCAAUAAUAAUGUCUGUUUCUAAAACUGGUUGUUGUUGCUCAGACAAACACAGCGAUGUUGAAAACAGCACAAAUCUGCAGUCUUUACUCUUCAGGAAAUCAGCAGAGGAACGCUGACUUACUUAGUUUAAACUAGGAAUAAGAGAAAUUAUUUUAACAUCAAAAUAAUCACAAACAGCGCCUUUGAAGAUCUGGGCUGGUAACCAAAUAGUGAUCAUACAACUGUCUGGGUUACUAAAAAAGGCAUAAUUUUAGAAGAUUUGUGAGUAUUUUGAAUGAUCUUAUAUUUUUCUGUCUGUGUCUGAGAACGUGCGCCGGGCCGAGGCGGCGAAGACCUUCAAGCGUCAGGAGGAGACGAGCCUUCAUCUCUUAUCUGGGAUAUUUCACCGCCUGGACGACGCCUGGAGGAUCUACCUCAGCCGGAUCAAGCUCUGUUCCACAUCUCAGCCAUCACUGCUACAGACUGAAGAUUGUUCAUGUGAGCAAAAAUUUGCAUGUUUGAUUAAGGCCAGUGUGGCUUUCGUUUGAAAUCUGCAAGCAUAAUUGUUAAAGUCGGCAUGAAAUGUUCUAGUGUUUUCUUUCCUAUUGUGCCGUAUAUCCGAGUGAAAUGCUUCUGGAUGAAGAACAAAUGUAGGGCGGGGCUGAUUUUGGUGGUCGGAUCAGAACUCUUCUUCUUCUAGUGAUGUUCCUCUGAGCUUUUCUCUUUGGUAAUGUCUCUCAGCCGUCUCUCUUUCUACAGUCUUUCUUCAAAUCUCCCUCUAGCUCACUACUUGACUAGUUGACUACUGUCAACAGACAGAAAAUACAUUUCCACCAUGAUUUAGGAAUGAAUGUUGUAUAAAUCAGGGUGAAUGAUUUAUGAACAAACCUUCAGAAUAUAGAUAUGAAUAAAACUGUAAAGUCUGGUUUGUGUAAAGCUGCUGAAGUGGAGAUUUCUGACUGAAACUCACUGACUUUAAAGAUUGAAAUCUAUGGAUGAUAAGAAGUAAAGUUCAAUUUAAAUGUUUAUUUUUAGAUGUUUUUUUUUACACUAGUCUGAAAGAAGCAAAAUAGAGCUCAAAACUGAGCAGUGCAUGAAAAACACUGGUUUUGUCUGUAGUGUCUCGCCUUAAAACAACUGUUGCAUGAAGGUUUUUUGAAGAUUUUUUUUAUAAUUAUGUUGUUUAUUCACCCUCACAUCGUUCCAAACUUGUAUAUUGUUUGUGUGUGUGUGUGUGUUUAAACACAAGAGAUAUUUUUGAAGAAUGUUACACUCCAUACAGCAGCGUUAUAUAUUUGAGUUUGACAGUUUCUAACUUUCUUCUCCUUUGAUGUUCCAUGAAAGAAAGAAAGUCGUACAGAUGUGGAAGAUCAUUAUGGCUCCUGCAGUAAAUAAUGAGCCAAUUCUCAUUUUUAAUCCACAACGGCAACAUGAAGAUUGGCGACAAGCGGUGCGAGUACGACCCCAGUUUCCGUCUGAUCUGGCGAACCCUCACUAGCAGCCGAUCUUCAGGCUCCGUGAACGCUGGUCAACUUCAGCGGGACGCCGGGAGGAUCUCACGGUGCUUCAGAUGUGCUUCAGAUCAGAUCCUUCUCUCCACACUUAAUUACGGGACUCUUUAGCAGAUGUUAUUUGACAGGUGUUUGUGAGCUUAAUUGGAUUCAUCAGUUUCUGAGGUCUAGAUUGGCUGAACUCAGGGAUAAUUAGUCAUCAUGUGGUCAGUCGUUCCAGUUCUGCGUCGUAUCAGAAUAUUAGAUGAUUGAGGAAGAUCCACACGCUGUUUCCCAGAGAGCGUCUGUGUUCUCACCUUUACUUAUAAAAGGUUAAUUAGUGGUUCUCUGUUUGCACCUUCAUGUAUGUAAUCACACACUUUCCCUGAGCAAUUUUGCUAAUGACCAAUGAGAGCUUCGACUAUUGGCAACACAUUUGCAAAUUUAUAUUAGCAUUAGUGUAUUAGCAUAACAUUACUGUAAGUAAUUAUCUGGAAUGGUCAAGCAAGCGUUUGUGCCACAGGGUUGAAUUUCCCAUUAAGCCUCUCUCUUUCCGUAGAGGAAGCCGCUUAUUUUUCUCGCUUUAUUUCAUUUCCUCUUCCUGUAAUGUGUGUCUGAAGCUGAAGCUGAGGGUUUUCCUUUGCGACAACAAAUUACAACAAACCAAAGAAGUCUUUUUAAUAACUGACAGGGAGUGAAUGCGGUUAUUUCGAGAUGUGUGUGCCGUAAAAUUGAAAUGUUACUUAAUGAAGCUUGAUUAAUUAGUGUUUCACAGCUGAGAUCCUAAGGAUGGGGAAAAUGCUGCCGAACUCUCUUAUCAUCUUAAUUAAUAUUGAAAGUUGUAAGAAAAGCGUGACAAUCCCUUAACGCUGAGUAAGAUGACGAGUUUGACUAGCUGUUCGUUACACUCUGGCCAGUCUUUACUGGAUUUUAUAAUUAGAUCUUAUGCAACCACACCACGGGGACGCUGCUUUUUAUUUAGAUGAUUUUUAGAGGAUUUGUUCAUAUUCCCUCGCUUGUGUUUUGCAUUACGCAAUACCAUCAUAACUGCAGUGAGUUUAUCUUAUUACAGAAUUCACAUUGAGAUCUGCUCGUCCGCCAAGGCCAUUAGAUCAAGUAAAUGCCACUGUGAUCCGCGGAGAGACGCAUCAGUCUCGCUAAUGAGCAGGAGAAUUCUGCUCUUCUCAAGUCAUCCUAACCAGCCUCACUUUCUGCUGCAUAAUUACUUGGCUGAAAUGGUAAGUGUACUAACUUUCUUCACAAUAAGGCGCUCAGCUGCUGGUUAAUUGUUUGUUUUUCAGCUCCAGGGUAAUUGGACGCACAAGAUGCCAGUGGAAACGUAAUCAUUAAUGACUGACUCAUUAGGAUGGGAUAGUUUAACGUACCUGUUUUCCUCCUCUCUGAUGAGCCGUCGCACGGCAAGGUCCGGAUCUUUGAUCCCAGCUCUUGUGAGUUUCUCUAGUGCUGUUCUUUGUAAAAGUCUCAUAAAAAGCUCCAGUGGUCACUGGCAGAGCGGCGCUAUUACAGGUUUGUUUUUGUGCAGAUUGACCUCUUCAGGAAUGUAUUGGAUCUUGACAGUUCAAUAUGAGAUGACGGCUCUCUGAGCGUGUCUGUGUGAUUUGACUGCUUUCUGCAGUCCAGAUCGUUGCUCGUGAGCAUUAGCUUCUCUAUCAGACGUGGGGAACGGAUCCAUCAGCGUUGACAGUCCCAUCACACUCGGGCGGUUGCGGUUUUUGAUGUCUUUGGCGAGAGGAAGUCUGUUAAUCCAUGCAAAGACUCCCGCAGAUAUUGAUCUCUCAGCCUCCCAGAUGACUUUGCCCCGUGGCUCUUGUUUUUAUCAAUCAUCACAGGUCUGCACACACGUGUCUUUCUCUGUCUUUUACUUUGUAGUCAAACCUUACAAGAACGGCUUCAGAAUCACUUUGAAAACUCUGGAGGACAACCUGCUCUCACGCCUCUCCUAAGCGUCUGGAAACUUCCUCGGAGACCUUGACCUGCUGGAGGACUUGAAGAUUACCAAACGAACAGCGGCAGAGAUUGAAGACGAGGUGACGGAGGCUGAGAUCAAUGACGUGACGACGGCCCGAGCCUCGCUCCUGUACUUCAUCAUGAACGACCUCAAUAAAAUACAUCCCAUGGACCAGUUCUCUCUCAAGACGCCUCAGCCACACAUGAUGGAGGUCUUGUGUUUCUCCUCCAGCGGCGCUGGGAUCUGUCCCAUGUUAACCGUUCAGUCAUGAUGAUCUACAGCGUCUAGUGUAAUGCUCUUCAGUGUAUUACAACACUAGCUAAUAACACUGGCUACAUUUAUUAUACUUUAUUAUAUAAUACCUGAUCAGAAUUGAAUGCGAUGAGAUAAAAGGACUGGGUACUAUUAUGAAAUAAUACAAAGAUAAUAAAUAGGCAAGACGUCUUCACUGGUUGCAGGCAAACAUCAGUGUAUUCUGUUCAUUUAACGAUUAAUAAAGAAUCACAAACUCAGAGUGUGGACCAGUCUAAUGUCAAAUCAAGUCAGCUUUAUUUAUAAAGCGCUUUUACAAUACAGAUUGUGUCAAAGCAGCUUCACAGUGAUAACUGGAACAUAAUUUUGGCUGCACAGCAGCUCUUAAAGAAAAUGGUGUCCAGCUUAAGUAAGUUCAGUAUUGAUUCGUUCUGCUGUAAGAAUCAACAGUUAUUAAUUUAGUUCAUUUAUCUAUACCGCAGCUCUGGAGAAAACGGUGAUGUCAACGUCCAGCUCAGUUCAGUUCGCACACAAUGGUGUCGAUGCAGGCAGAUCAAAACACUGUUGAAUAUCAAGUGUCCCCGACUAAGCAAGCCAGAGGCGACAGCGGCAAGGAACCCAAACUCCAUCAGCGUCGUUUCAAAAGGCCGUACUGAAAGCCGAGCCGAAUGAGACCUUGAAGCGGCGGGUCUUAAAUCUGAUUGACAGCGUCACGUCCUCGGUGUUCCAGUUCACCACCCGCGGCUCUCCGAGUGUGAUAAACUCACCUACACCGCCCAGCUGUCCUUCCACACGAGUCUCCAACACAGUCCACGCCUCUGCUUCCUCCUAAACACACGGUUCAUCUCCCCUGUAGACUCUCUCUGCCAUGAAGGAGUUUCAUAACCUCGACCGGGACGUUGAAGUCUCGGCUAAACGCUGGAAGAAGUUCACAGAGUCUCCGGAGGAAGAGAAGUUCCCUCAGGAGUGGAAAAAUAAGACGUCACUGAAAAAGAUCUGCACACUGUCAUGUGAACAACCAGAGAUUCUGUGGAGGAGAUGCUGGGCAGUAAAUAUGUGACGGGACGCUCGCUUAUCCAGUCGACCCGCCGAAGGAUGUGGAGAAACACGAUUUGAGGGUUUACUGAUACUCAUGUGAGGGAUCAGAUUAAACACCUGUGAGAGCAACUAGUCAAAUCACACCCUAGCCGAUUACCGGGGGCUCACGACACACCUCCGACGCUUCAGAUCUGUAAUCUGACCCUUUAAUAACAUCCUGCAGGAAGAAAACUGGGAUACGUGUUCAACAACAAGAAUUUCCACAACGUUUGGCUGAUCAGAAGUGAUGGCAGGCUCUGGAUACGGCAGUGAGAGAGGGACACUGGGUGAUUUCACCGGUAAAACACUAUAAACUGCCAUAUCCACACAGCUGCUGCAGAAACACUGAACACGUGGAGAUGAUCCUGAACAGAGCGCAGUGCAGGUGUCUGGAUCUCGAAAGCUCAAACUGCACUGAUUUUGUGGCCACAUUUGCUCUUUUACCUGAUUUGCAUUAUUUAACACUUCACAAUAAGGGUUCAUUUGUUAACUUUAUAAUAAUUACAUUAGUUAAAGACACACUAUGUAAAUUUUCACCGCUAGAGGUCGCCUAUUCAGAACAAAGGUGUAGCUUGAUGACGCCGAGAUUGAGCGCAGAAUCAUGGGAGAUGUCGUCUUCACCUCACAGCUGGUGGAAAAGAAUCCGACGGGAUGGCUUGUGUUGAUAAAUGGCAUGCAAUUAAUUUUAAAACAUAUUGUAUGACGAAGAAAAUGCUGUAUCUGAUUGUUAUUGUAAUAUACUGCUCUGAGACUCGAGGGUUGAGGAUCCAAACGCAGUUUAUUGAAAAGGGGUAAUCCACAAUCAUAAUCUAAAUGUACAGGUCUGGGUCAGAACACAGGCAGUCCAAACAAAGAAACACAAAACAAGGCAGGAACACACAGGGAAAAUAAACCAGGACACAGGAAAACAACAUACAAAGAACCAGAGAAAUGCUCAGAAUUGCAGAUUUACACAUACAAUACUUCACAGGGAAUGACUGAGAGAACCAGGCUUAUACAGGCAGAGUGAACAAGGCUAAUGAGCUAAACAAGGUAACGAGAUAACAAGCUAACAAGGGGGCGUGGUCCAAUGAGUGUCCAUGGUAACAAACAAGGGGAACAGCAGCAGGAAAACAUGAGGUGCUCAAACACCAGAGGAGACACAGGGAACACGGGCAGGGAUCGUCAUGUUAGCCUCUUGACAAAAUAGUGUUUUUCUCUGAGGCAUGAAAACAUGAAGUCACAGAAAAUCAAGAAAACGAGAUUUAAACAAUAAGACUAAACGUGUUGAGCUAUAAAACAAUGAUUCGUUUUCUGUCUAUAAAUGUAACCAAACAGUUGUUCCCUUGUCUAAUAAAACAUGUAAUAUAUUAAAGCGUCUUUGGUAUUUCCAUGGUUUCCACUAAAUAAAACUGGAAACCGAAGGUAACGCGGGUAUGACGUCACUGAAGGGCGACACACGGACACGGCCCGUAUCCUGGUUAAAAUCGCUUAUUUCUCUGGAUUUAAACAAUCUUGGAAACAUCUGGGAUAAUAUAAGUACACAAGUCAACAAAAUAUAUAACGCUGUUCUAGUGGUUUUUGGAUAUUUUAAUCCAAAAAUCUUACAAUAAUUAAUUAAUUAUUUAAUUAAUUUAUUUCAGCAUUUACAGAUACAUGAAAAGACAUUAAAUAUGCAGUAAUAUUAUUGAUCCGACUGACACUAUCAGAUGAGAACAAAACUUGAACUGAAUCGAUCUGAAUAAUUACUCUAUUGUCUUCUGUAGAGCUUCUUUACAGCUGAAAUUGAUUUUUUCCCUCAUAUCUGAUGAAGUUUGCAUCAUUGAUUCUGUUAUUUUCCUGUUUAUUACUGUGAAGCUGCUUUGAAACAGUCUGUAAUGGUUAAAGCGUUAUAGAAUUAAAGCUGACUUGAUAUGAUUAAAAUCAAAAGUUGUAUCUGUUAAUAUUAUUUAAUGGACCUAAACUAACAAUGAGCAGUUUUAAGAUUAAUAAAUAGUGUUUCAAAUGAAUUGCUCAUUGUUAGUUAAUGCAUUAACUAACUCCCUUGUUGUAAAGCGUUACCGUGUCAGUCCUUCAGUCAUUUGUUCAUUCAGAGACCGUAGCGCGUCUCGAGGAGGAAUGUUGUCUGUUCUUCAGCACAGUAAAUGUCUGGGUGGUGUCCUCCUCACGCUCUCGCUCACGGCUGAUUAAUGACCUGUUGUGUUCUGCCGGGAGAGAGAAAUACCCUCCGGCCGCCACACUCCACUAAUGAGUCCAUUAGACCGCGUCCAUUUCAUCCGAAUGUCACUCUCUGACCACAGCUGCUCAUUACACGUAUUAGUUUGGACGUCCUCCGGCAGACACCCACAUGUACAAACUGGCCAUAUAGAUGUGGCUUGAUUAAAACAGUGAUCAAUAUGUCAAGAAAACACGGAGGCUAGUGGUCUGAAUUCAGAUGUUCUGAUAUGGACGAUUCUCACGAGAAAAUGCUGCAUCAUCGAACGCAAUCUCGAGCGCAGGAAUGCGUUCCACUCUUUAAAGACGCACCUGCACAGAAUCACAAUGACUUUUAUUGACCGGAUGAAGCAUCAGAACAUCUUUACCUGAGAUCCUCCUCACGCUGUGCUGGUCAGAAACACGGAGAUGAGCGUUAGUUUAAUUGCCUUUGCAUGAGAAUCUCAAUCGAUAGACCCGAAGAUUCCCAUCUCCGAACCGCCUUCCCACAAUCUUCAUCAGGCCGUCUCAUCUCCUGCCUCAGCGAGUCUGUUUCAGCCCACUUAUGAAUUCAGGCUUGGCCGGGGAGACGGCGGGUCAAUGGAAAGUUCCCCUCCAGUGAAGGUUAAUUAUAUUGCAGCACACGGGGUCCCGUCCGGCAGAAAUGCAGAAAUCCACUCACUGUAGAGAGGCAAUCAAUCGCUAAUACUGGAGCAGAAAAUCCUUAGGCUUCAGCUGACCAGAGCUCCCCUCUUCUUUUAGAUACACAAUGAGCAGAGACGAGGAGAGCAAGGUGAAUUCGCUCAGGGACGACUAUUACUUGAAAAGUGGCUGCCAGGAUAGUGUUUAACUUUAAUGGCUUUUCUGGAAGGAAUAUGCUGCAUUCAGCCUUUUAAACCACUGCCGCCUGCAUUAUCAGGCUUGACCGGCAGAUUCAGCAGGAAAGCCCAGUUACAACCUGCAUAUUGUGUGUCCGAAUAAAUCCUUUGAAAUAAUGAAAUGAUAAUUCAAUUUUAUGUACAGCGAGGACCAAAUGCAUCAGUUGUGCAAUUUAAUACACCUUUUUCAGUGCUAACGAUAGUAUGAAUGUUACAACUUGAGUACAAUUAAAAUGGAUGUCAUAAAGUCUUAGUGUCCUCAGUCAGUGAUUUCAGUGUUUUCACCUCCUAAAGAAAGCAGAAACCAAAUGCAGUUUUUUCAGUAGACCGCAUUUUGCACAUUCGGAUGUGCCGCAAUACAUCACCUGCAAAAGCUGCAUGUUUCAGUCUUCAGACACAGCAAAUGACAAAAAUAUCACCCGAGAAAUAAAAACUCCAUAGCGUUAGCAGCUCCGAGCUGAGAGAGAGAGAGA